ACGGACUAGUAUCCUUUUCUCCGUCGUCUCCCUUCCGUACGCGGCACGGACAGCCAGCCGGCCGGCCGGCGAGCUACUUCUCCGCCUCCGAGCUCUCCCUUGCGGUGGCCCAGGACCGCCGCCUGCGCUGAUUCUCCCGCGAGCAGGGGGCGCUGCCGUCGUCACCGCACCAUGUGACAAACUGCAGCAAUGCUAAUAUGGAUGGCAUCAGUUACAGGAGGAUGAAACCAGUCAUGCAGCGUUCAAUCAUGGAACACAUGCUAUGGGUCAUAAUGGAGGACGAAGCCAGUCAUGAAACAAGUGCUGCAGGGUCAUAACGAGCUGAUCCCAGAAGUCCAUCAGUUGGGAUCCUGUCAUGACACUGGAUCCUCCCUCACGGCCAUUGACCCGGACAAGGUGGCCAAAGCCGUUUUCAUGGACUAUGCCAUGCAGCAAAUGACCUGGACUCUCCAGCUGCACAUAGUCCCAAUCUUCCGGAUCGUCACGAGAGAGGCUGACGUGGUUGCAGGAUGGGCAUCUGAUGACAACACCACGAGAUGAGGCCACACAUGCCACCAUGAACCCACAACACCUGCAGGUUUUGGAGGUGCCAAUUUCGUUCUCAUUGCGAAUUAUGAAGUGGUACCUCUUGGAGCAAACAG